UACGAAGGGUGCGAGCGUUAUUCGGAAUUAUUGGGCGUAAAGGGUGCGCAGGCGGUGCGCUAAGUCAACUGUUAAAUCUCCCAGCCUAACUGGGAAUCAGCGGUAGAUACUGGUGCGCUAGAGGGUGGAAGAGAGAAGUGGAAUUCUUGGAGUAGCGGUAAAAUGCGUAGAUCUCAAGAGGAACACCGAUGGCGAAGGCAGCUUCUUGGUCCACAUCUGACGCUCAAGCACGAAAGCGUGGGGAGCAAACAGGAUUAGAUACCCUGGUAGUCCACGCUGUAAACGAUGAUCACUAGACGUUAGGCCUGCUCUGCAGGCUUAGUGUCGUAGCUAACGCGAUAAGUGAUCCGCCUGGGGACUACGGUCGCAAGAUUAAA
rnacentral:rRNA from 1 species